CUCCGACAGGAGUUGCAGUUUACUGACAGUCUACCAGCUUCCCCUAAACAUGGAACAACUGAAGGACUAGACACUUGGCUCCCAUGUGCCCAAGAGACAGAGGAGCUCUGAAUAGGGGCCUAAAAUGCACUGUUUAGCAGAAUGUUCCAUGAAUGUCCACUCCACACCCCACUGACAGUGUGAGGCAGAUCGUCGAGACAGAAAACUAAUAAAGUAGUUCUGGACUUAUACUCAAUGUUUGACCAAUUGAACCCAAUAGGCAUUUACGGAAUAUGUUACUCA
rnacentral:lncRNA from 10 species